rnacentral:rRNA from 1 species
UACGGGGGGAGCAAGCGUUGUUCGGAUUUACUGGGCGUAAAGGGCGCGUAGGCGGCCACCGCAAGUCAAUUGUGAAAUCUCCGGGCUUAACUCGGAAAGGUCAACUGAUACUGCGGGGCUAGAGUGCGGAAGGGGCAACUGGAAUUCUCGGUGUAGCGGUGAAAUGCGUAGAUAUCGAGAGGAACACCUGCGGCGAAGGCGGGCUGCUGGGCCGACACUGACGCUGAUGCGCGAAAGCCAGGGGAGCGAACGGG